rnacentral:rRNA from 1 species
UUUGGUUAAGUUAGAAAGGGCGCACGGUGGAUGCCUUGACACUAGGAGUCGAUGAAGGACGGGACUAACGCCGAUAUGCUUCGGGGAGCUGUAAGUAAGCUUUGAUCCGAAGAUUUCCGAAUGGGGAAACCCACCAUACGUAAUGGUAUGGUAUCCUUAUCUGAAUACAUAGGGUAAGGAAGACAGACCCAGGGAACUGAAACAUCUAAGUACCUGGAGGAAGAGAAAGCAAAUGCGAUUUCCUGAGUAGCGGCGAGCGAAACGGAACAUAGCCCAAACCAAGAGGCUUGCCUCUUGGGGUUGUAGGACAUUCUAUACGGAGUUACAAAGGAACGAGGUAGACGAAGCGACCUGGAAAGGUCCGUCGUAGAGGGUAACAACCCCGUAGUCGAAACUUCGUUCUCUCUUGAAUGUAUCCUGAGUACGGCGGAACACGUGAAAUUCCGUCGGAAUCUGGGAGGACCAUCUCCCAAGGCUAAAUACUCCCUAGUGAUCGAUAGUGAACCAGUACCGUGAGGGAAAGGUGAAAAGCACCCCGGAAGGGGAGUGAAAGAGAUCCUGAAACCGUGUGCCUACAAAUAGUCAGAGCCCGUUAACGGGUGAUGGCGUGCCUUUUGUAGAAUGAACCGGCGAGUUACGAUCCCGUGCGAGGUUAAGCUGAAGAGGCGGAGCCGCAGCGAAAGCGAGUCUGAAUAGGGCGUUUAGUACGUGGUCGUAGACCCGAAACCAGGUGAUCUACCCAUGUCCAGGGUGAAGUUCAGGUAACACUGAAUGGAGGCCCGAACCCACGCACGUUGAAAAGUGCGGGGAUGAGGUGUGGGUAGCGGAGAAAUUCCAAUCGAACCUGGAGAUAGCUGGUUCUCCCCGAAAUAGCUUUAGGGCUAGCCUUAAGUGUAAGAGUCUUGGAGGUAGAGCACUGAUUGGACUAGGGGUCCUCAUCGGAUUACCGAAUUCAGUCAAACUCCGAAUGCCAAUGACUUAUCCUUAGGAGUCAGACUGCGAGUGAUAAGAUCCGUAGUCAAAAGGGAAACAGCCCAGACCGCCAGCUAAGGUCCCAAAGUGUGUAUUAAGUGGAAAAGGAUGUGGAGUUGCUUAGACAACUAGGAUGUUGGCUUAGAAGCAGCCACCAUUUAAAGAGUGCGUAAUAGCUCACUAGUCGAGUGACUCUGCGCCGAAAAUGUACCGGGGCUAAAUACACCACCGAAGCUGCGGAUUGAUACCAAUGGUAUCAGUGGUAGGGGAGCGUUCUAAGGACAGUGAAGUCAGACCGGAAGGACUGGUGGAGUGCUUAGAAGUGAGAAUGCCGGUAUGAGUAGCGAAAGACGGGUGAGAAUCCCGUCCACCGAAUGCCUAAGGUUUCCUGAGGAAGGCUCGUCCGCUCAGGGUUAGUCAGGACCUAAGCCGAGGCCGAUAGGCGUAGGCGAUGGACAACAGGUUGAUAUUCCUGUACCACCUCUUUAUCGUUUGAGCAAUGGAGGGACGCAGAAGGAUAGAAGAAGCGUGCGAUUGGUUGUGCACGUCCAAGCAGUUAGGCUGAUAAGUAGGCAAAUCCGCUUAUCGUAAAGGCUGAGCUGUGAUGGGGAAGCUCCUUAUGGAGCGAAGUCUUUGAUUCCCCGCUGCCAAGAAAAGCUUCUAGCGAGAUAAAAGGUGCCUGUACCGCAAACCGACACAGGUAGGCGAGGAGAGAAUCCUAAGGUGUGCGAGAGAACUCUGGUUAAGGAACUCGGCAAAAUGACCCCGUAACUUCGGGAGAAGGGGUGCUUUCUUAACGGAAAGCCGCAGUGAAUAGGCCCAAGCGACUGUUUAGCAAAAACACAGCUCUCUGCGAAGCCGUAAGGCGAAGUAUAGGGGGUGACACCUGCCCGGUGCUGGAAGGUUAAGGAGAGGGGUUAGCGUAAGCGAAGCUCUGAACUGAAGCCCCAGUAAACGGCGGCCGUAACUAUAACGGUCCUAAGGUAGCGAAAUUCCUUGUCGGGUAAGUUCCGACCCGCACGAAAGGUGUAACGAUUUGGGCACUGUCUCAACCAGAGACUCGGUGAAAUUAUAGUACCUGUGAAGAUGCAGGUUACCCGCGACAGGACGGAAAGACCCCGUGGAGCUUUACUGUAGCCUGAUAUUGAAUUUUGGUACAGUUUGUACAGGAUAGGCGGGAGCCAUUGAAACCGGAGCGCUAGCUUCGGUGGAGGCGCUGGUGGGAUACCGCCCUGACUGUAUUGAAAUUCUAACCUACGGGUCUUAUCGACCCGGGAGACAGUGUCAGGUGGGCAGUUUGACUGGGGCGGUCGCCUCCUAAAGUGUAACGGAGGCGCCCAAAGGUUCCCUCAGAAUGGUUGGAAAUCAUUCGUAGAGUGCAAAGGCAUAAGGGAGCUUGACUGCGAGACCUACAAGUCGAGCAGGGACGAAAGUCGGGCUUAGUGAUCCGGUGGUUCCGCAUGGAAGGGCCAUCGCUCAACGGAUAAAAGCUACCCCGGGGAUAACAGGCUUAUCUCCCCCAAGAGUCCACAUCGACGGGGAGGUUUGGCACCUCGAUGUCGGCUCAUCGCAUCCUGGGGCUGUAGUCGGUCCCAAGGGUUGGGCUGUUCGCCCAUUAAAGCGGUACGCGAGCUGGGUUCAGAACGUCGUGAGACAGUUCGGUCCCUAUCCGUCGUGGGCGUAGGAAAUUUGAGAGGAGCUGUCCUUAGUACGAGAGGACCGGGAUGGACGCACCGCUGGUGUACCAGUUGUUCUGCCAAGGGCAUAGCUGGGUAGCUAUGUGCGGAAGGGAUAAGUGCUGAAAGCAUCUAAGCAUGAAGCCCCCCUCAAGAUGAGAUUUCCCAUAGCGUAAGCUAGUAAGAUCCCUGAAAGAUGAUCAGGUUGAUAGGUUCGAGGUGGAAGCAUGGUGACAUGUGGAGCUGACGAAUACUAAUAGAUCGAGGACUUAACCAUAUAA